rnacentral:rRNA from 1 species
CCUUUCAGGGUUGACUUGUAGACUGGGCUUCGGUUUGGGACAGCAGGGAUUGGUAAGGGGGACUAGACUAGGGCGCGGCGGCGCCGGAAGGGGAGGUGGUCGCACGGCGGCGCCGGAGGGGGAAGUGGUCCCGCGGCGGGGCCGGAGGGGGAGGUGGCAGCGCCGGCGGGGACGGUGGAGGGCGGCACCGGCGGCGGGGUCGAGGUCGGCGCUGGCGGCGGGGGUGCAGGUGGGCCCGGUGACGGGAUGCGCGGUUGCUGGGGAGGGGGGCGGCGGCGCGGUGCCCAGGUGAAGCGGUGCUCGAGGUCGCAGCUGGUAGGGCGGCGUCGAGCACUAGGAGAGAAGGUAGUCGAGGUGAAGUGACCUUGGCAUUCAGGUGUCCUCAUACGCAUCGUCCAAGUGGUCUAGGAGGAUUGUAGAAGAAGGAAGAGGUUUUUAUAAAAGAAAAUACAAGUUAAGAAGCAGUAUACAAGUAAAGGAUAAUGGACUCACGGAAAGCGAACUUAAGAACGACUACGACCGACAUCGAACUUUGCCGAAGAGGACGCACGGAUGCACACACUAAAAGAAGUCAGGUUUUCCCUCUUUAUAACAGUCAAGUACUUAUUUCUUAAAAACAUGAUUUGAAUUGUAAUCAAACCACACGUGAGCCAACAGUCAGGAACUUUUUCGCGUCUUAUCAACCACGGACACUUUUUUAUAGCAGUCAUGUUCAAAGUUAAAGACAUUCAAAUCUAUAUAGUGGACUUAUUCAUUACUAAACGCCGCUCAAAGAAACUACAGUUAAGACUAGGUUCUCGACCAUCACGGAGCAGAGAAGUGGUGUAUCUAACGUCGAAAGAUAUCCGCCUCAGGUUAACACGUCGGCCGUUUACGAGACACGUAAUGCGAGAUCAUAAAAUGGGUGAACUUAAUAUCAGGGAUCUCAGGAAUACACUAGUGGUCUGAUCGUGUAAUAUGUCCCGUGACGCAUAAGUGACGAAAAAGAGAAAAGUCGUAACAUGAGGAACGUAAAAUUAACCGUGUAGUAAAAGGUAUAGAUCCUACUAUGUAGUUGAAUCACCAAUACGUAUGUGGGUGAUAGCCGUUUGAACACUUAGCUGGUGGGCCCGGUAUGCAACUUUAGUCACAAAUAAACAUUAUUAAUCAAAUACAGGUAAGUCUAAAACAUCAGUUGUAAUACUUAAAGAUUUCGUACUUUUACGUAGUGGGGGACUCAUUAAUUAAAUUCAUUUGACCUCUCAGGUAACUCACCAAAAAUUAAAACCGUUUGUGCUACGGGGACGUUAACAAACUGGUAUAAGUCCAAGAAGAGAGGUAAUACCGGGGGAGAAGUAUAGUCGUUCGUAGAGGAGAACGUCGUCCGUAGAGGAACGGGUGGUGUAACCGACCUCGUACGGACAAGAAUUGAAACAAACUAAAACAGUACUAAAUAUAUUUUCGGUCAUCGACACGAUCAUGAAUUGAUGAAUACAAUGUUGUCCGGUAACUGUUUUUUCGAUGUUUUUAGUGAAAAAGAAUAACGUUUUUAAACACUUAAACGAGUCAAGUUGUACAUGACAUAGUAGUUUGUUGAGUAUACGUAAAACUAUACGUAUUUGGAUAUGUUAAAGCACACAGUCAAGUCGAUUCUAGUUGGAUAUACGUUUUAAAAGUCAUUUACAAAUCGUCCUAGAGAUACGAUAACCAAAGAAGUCAAAUGAACGUUCAAGAUCAUUUUUUUCAACGUAUGUGUAGGAUCGGUGACGAGUGGAGACGGCGCGGGUGGACAUAAGGAGGCCGCCUCGUCUACCGCGCCUAGUCCUCCACACACUCUUUACCACCGCGACCGCACCACCCCGGCGCUCCGAGCGGCACCACCUCGAGUAGGCGGAGAUCGACAGCUACCGUCAACACCCUUCGGGACCAGCGGCAGCCCACCGUGGCAGACGUGCCGGAGAUCGUCAAGCUGUUCACGCGGAGGGAAUCAAGAUCCUACUGCUCGAUCCGUCGGCGGGAGAAACACUGGACGAUUAAAGGGGGAACGUGAUCGCCGGACUACUACGCCCUCGGCGGGAGAAGUGAGGUCGCCCGAAGAGCAUGGCGGAUACGACGAUCAUUACAACGUCCAACUAGGAGAACCUAAAGAUAAACAAAGAAUCAAGACCACUUCAUCCACUUGACUAAAACCCCGGUGAAGAGAAUGAAACACGUCACUGUCUCUUGAACCACGACUCCUUACCUCGCGUUCAUGCCUACCACGAAGGCAUUAGAAUCCGCUCGAACGCUUAGACAUCGUGGGACCACUAAAAUCAACACGAUAAUCAGUACCUCACUUGUACCUGUCUACUUACACAACGAUUUGUCCCGAAGACUUAAACGUAAUAGUGGUACGAAAAAGGUAAGCAUAAGUCCAACGUUUUUACAAGAACAUACUCAUGUUCGAUCAGCUAGCUAGAUAGGUCACCUAAGUCAGGUCUACGAUCGAAUAAGAACCCUUCAGAACUAAACCUCUUUUUUAGUACAACUGAUCGACAAGA